UUUAAUGGCCGCAGUAUUCUGACUGUGCAAAGGUAGCAUAAUCAUUAGUUUCUUAAUUAGAAACUGGAAUGAAUGGUUGGACGAGAAAAUAACUGUCUCUUUAUAAAUUUUUUAGAAUUUUAUUAUUAAGUUAAAAAGCUUAAAUAUAUUUAAAAGACGAGAAGACCCUAUAGAGUUUUAUAAUUUUUAUAAAAAUAAUAUUUAUAGAAUUUUUUAUUUAUUUUUAAAAAAAUUAUUUAAUUGGGGUGAUUAAAAAAUUUAAUAAACUUUUUUUUUAUUAGAACAUUAAUGUAUGAAUUAUUGAUCCAUUAUAAUGAUUAUAAGAUUAAAUUACCUUAGGGAUAACAGCGUAAUUUCUUUUAAGAGUUCUAAUCGAUAAAGAAGUUUGCGACCUCGAUGUUGGAUUAAAAUUUAAGUUUGGUGUAGAAGCUAAACCUUUAGGUCUGUUCGACCUUUAAAAUUUUACAUGAUCUGAGUUUAAACCGGUGUGAGCCAGGUUGGUUUCUAUCUUUAAAAAAAGUUAAUAUUUUAGUACGAAAGGACCAAAUAUUAGUAAUAUUUAUUAAUUUAUUGAUUAUUAUUAAUA
rnacentral:rRNA from 1 species